rnacentral:rRNA from 1 species
CCUGCAUGAAGUCGGAAUUGCUAGUAAUCGCGGAUCAGCAUGCCGCGGUGAAUACGUUCCCGGGCCUUGUACACACCGCCCGUCACACCAUGGGAGUCGGUAACACCCGAAGCCGAUAGUCUAACGAAAGAGGACGUCGUCGAAGGUGGGAUUGAUGACUGGGGUGAAGUCGUAACAAGGUAGC